rnacentral:tRNA from 1 species
GCCGCGGUGGAUGGCGCGGGAGGCCGGGCGGCGUAGGUCCGCUCGGGCCGGGGCGAGACGCCCCGGUCCCGGUACAGGCCGGCCCGCAGCACC